GUGGGGAAUAUUGCACAAUGGGGGAAACCCUGAUGCAGCCAUGCCGCGUGUGUGAAGAAGGCCUUCGGGUUGUAAAGCACUUUCAGUAGGGAGGAAAGGGUGUAGUUUAAUACGCUAUAUCUGUGACGUUACCUACAGAAGAAGGACCGG
rnacentral:rRNA from 1 species